AUGGAGGCCUGGGUCCGCGCCGUCGUGGAGGCCAUCCACUCGUCUCGAGCCCAAGCCGUCAUCUAUCUCGCCGGCGGCGCCUCCCAGGCGCUCGGUUGGCUCCUGUCCGUGCCCGGCGCUUCUGGCAGCGUCCUCGAGGUCGUCGUGCCCUACUCCAGGGCCUCCAUGGCGCAGCUGCUCGGCAAGUUGCCACUGCAAUUCACAAGCAAGCAGGCCGCAGAGGACAUGGCACUGGCCGCGUUCAACCGUGCCCUAAAGCUUUCUGGACCAGGUCUACAAGUAAUGGGUGUUGGAUUUACUGGGUCACUCGCUAGCUCACGCCCAAAACAUGGUGACCACAGGUUUUAUGUGUCAACACGCACACAAAAUCGCCUCAGGACAUCACAUGUAACAUUGUCGAAGGGUUUACGGAGCAGAGAGGAAGAAGACAAGGUCUCAAGCUGUUUUGUGCUUAAGGCAAUCGCAGAUGCAUGCAGAGUUUCUGCAACCAUUCAGUCAGACGUUCAAGAACCUGAAAUUCCAAAAGAAAGUGUGGAACAAUUUGAUGAAGACCAAGAGCUCCAGCAAGUUAUUGAUGGUCAAGUCUGCAUGAAAGUAUACCACUUUGCUGACCCAAUGGAAAAGAACUUCGACAGGAAACUAAUUCUACCUGGUUCAUUCAAUCCCUUGCAUGAUGGCCACCUUAGGUUGUUAGAAGUUGCAUCAAGCAUGUGUGAUGAUGGUUUUCCGUGCUUUGAGAUAUCAGCAAUAAAUGCCGACAAACCCUCCCUGUCCAUCGCAGAAAUUAAGCGCCGUGUUGAGCAAUUCAGAAAAGCAGGGAAGAAUGUGAUCAUAUCUAACCAACCGUACUUUUAUAAGAAAGCAGAACUUUUCCCAGGCAGUGCUUUUAUAAUUGGUGCAGACACUGCAGCUAGGCUUGUAAAUCCUAAGUAUUAUGGAGGUGACUACAACAGAAUGCUGGAGAUUCUUCUUGAAUGUAAAAGCACUGGCACAACAUUUCUGGUUGGUGGUCGAGAGAUUGAAGGAGUAUUCAAGGUCCUUGAAGAUUUAAAUAUUCCAACAGAGUUGAAGGACAUGUUUAUCUCUAUACCAGAGGAGAAGUUCCGCAUAGAUAUUUCAUCUACUGAAUUAAGAAAAAGUCAAAGGCUCUGA
rnacentral:rRNA from 1 species